UCCGUAGGUGAACCUGCGGAAGGAUCAUUACAUGGCGGAGAAGGUGGGCACCUGGCCAAAAACUCCAGGUUGUGAUGCCUUCACGCUCUUCCACCCUUGUCUAUUUGUACCUUUUGUCGUUCCCUCGGCGGGUUUCGACCCGCCGGCGGUAACCAUUGAAAACCCUUUUUGCAGUUUAGCAUCCAAUUCUUCUGAUCAAAAUAUCAAAUCGUUACAACUUUCAACAAUGGAUCUCUUGGUUCUGGCAUCGAUGAAGAACGCAGCGAAAUGCGAUAAGUAGUGUGAAUUGCAGAAUUCAGUGAAUCAUCGAAUCUUUGAACGCACAUUGCGCCCCUUGGUAUUCCAUGGGGCAUGCCUGUUCGAGCGUCAUUUACACCCUCAAGCUCUGCUUGGUGUUGGGCGUCUGUCCCCCUUUUUUUCUUGUGGGGGACUCGCCCUAAAGGUAUUGGCAGCGGUCCUGUCGGGCCUCCUAAUCGCGCAGCACUGUUCGCGCUUCUUGGAGCCUGUACGGAUUUCAGCGUCCAUCAAGCCCACAUUCUUUGACUUGACCUCGAAUCAGGUAGGGAUACCCGCUGAACUU
rnacentral:misc_RNA from 1 species